rnacentral:ncRNA from 1 species
GCGAACAAGUACCGCGAGGGAAAGAUGAAAAGGACUUUGAAAAGAGAGUCAAAGAGUGCUUGAAAUUGUCAGGAAGGAAGCGGAUGGGGGCCGGCGAUACGCCCCGGUCAGAUGUGGAACGGCGAGAGUCGGUCCGCUGAUCGGCUCGGGGCGUGGACUGACGCGGGUCGUGGCGGCGGCCCAAGCCCGGGCCUUUGAUACGCCUGUGGAGACGUCGUCGCCUCGAUCGUGGG